rnacentral:rRNA from 1 species
CCGGUUGAUCCUGCCGGAGGCUACCGCUAUUGGAGUUCGAUUAAGCCAUGCGAGUCGCGAGUCUUAGGGACUCGGCGUACCGCUCAGUAACACGUGGGUAACCUGCCCUAUGCUGGGGGAUGCCCUCGGGAAACUGAGAAUAAUACCCCAUAGUUCACCACGCCUGGAACGGUGGGUGGACCAAAGCUCCGGCGGCAUAGGAUGGGCCUGCGGCGUAUCAGGUUGUAGGGGGUGUAAUGUACCCUCUAGCCCUCUACGCGUACGGGUGUUGAGAGACAUCGCCCGGAGAUGGAUUCUGAGACACGAAUCCAGACCCUACGGGGUGCAGCAGGCGCGAAAACUUGGCAAUGCGAGAAAUCGUGACCAGGGAACUCCAAGUGCAUCGGGUAAGACCGAUGCUUUUCUUGACUCUUCAAAGGUCUUGGAAUAAGGGGUGGGUAAGGACGGUGCCAGCCGCCGCGGUAAUACCGGCGCCCCAAGUGGUAGUCGCUUUUAUUGGGCCUAAAACGUCCGUAGCCGGUCUGGUACAUUCGUGGGUAAAUCAACCAGCUCAACUGGUUGAAUUCUGCGAGCACGGCCAGACUUGGGACCGGGAGAGGUGUGGGGUACUCUCAGGGUAGGGGUAAAAUCCUGUCAUCCUGAGAGGACCACCUGUUGCGAAGGCGCCACACUAGAACGGAUCCGACGGUCAGGGACGAAGCCUAGGGGCACGAACCGGAUUAGAUACCCGGGUAGUCCUAGGUGUAAACGCUGUGGACUUGAUGUUGGGGGCGCUCCGAGCGCACUCAGUGUCGAAGCGAAGGUGAUAAGUCCACUGCCUGGGGAGUACGGUCGCAAGGCUGAAACUUAAAGGAAUUGGCGGGGGAGCACCGCAACCUGAGGAUUGUGCGGUUUAAUUGGAUCAACGCCGG